rnacentral:lncRNA from 15 species
CUUUUAUAGUCGCCUUUCUUUACAUAUUAUCUUAUAUAUUUUAUUAAUUUUUAAUUAAGUAAUUGUUUUCUUACAUUCAUUUCUGUUUUAAUAUCUUAUAUUAUCUUAAUUUUAUCUUAUAUUAUAUUAUAUAUAUCUUAUUUUAUAUUAAAUAUAUCUUAUAUUGUUAGUCAUUUUAAAAUGUUACUCCACAUCAUUGUAAAUGGGGACCAGCCCUGAGAGAUGUUUUAGUUUAAAUACCUAAAGUUAUAUAUUAAAGCUAUAUUUUAAAGUUAUAUAUUUAAGGUAUAUAUUAAGAGCAGCCUCAGAGGACGAGCAGCUGGUUGGCUUUGGCUGUGGACCAGAGAGCAGCUGGAGGGAGGUGUGGGACAGGAGGGCUGACGGCUACGCUGCCUUCAUCAUGAGAACUAAGUGUUUUCAGGGACUCAGAUGUACAGACUGCAGCAGUAGCUGAUAAGGAAACAGUCGGCCUCUGUCUCCUCUUCACCAGUUCCUGCCUCAAGUGCACCUGAUGAAGACACCAGUAGGUCUUCUUCAUCACAUGUAACAUAUGCUUUUUACCACAACAAUGUAUGUCUAAUGUAGAAAUACAUUUUUACAGCACUGUAAUUCUUUAUGUUUGUGUCACAGUGAUGGAUGAUGAUGAUGAUGAGGAGCUGGAGAGAGCGAUGAAGAGCAUAUCACCCACCAAGGAACUGGCACAGUGUUUCCCACCGUGCCGACAGUGAAGAGACCUGUAACCAUUCCUCCUGAGCUGCAGGUUCUGGUGACAGAGGUUGCUCAUCCCAACAAACUGAGUUCUUUCAGCGUGAACUUCAGCUAACCGAGCGCAGAGUGGAAGACAGAGCGGAAAAGAAGAGGAAACUGCCGGACCCUCAGCCUCGAGGAACAAUGUGUCGUUUCUGUCACACAGAGCUGAAGCAGGGUCCAACCAGCAGACACACACACACACACACACACACACACACACAAUGUCCUUUAACAUAAACGCCGUUCGACCACGGAGCAUUGCAUUCUGUGAAAUUACAACUGAUUAAUCUGAUUGAUUUAGUUGUUUCCUUGUAUAUAUUUAUAAUUGAUUAUUGGAUAUAAAACUGAUUGAUAUGUUGUUUAUUCUUGUUUUAGCACUCUCUAAACUGCACUGAAGACACGUGUGGACAGAUUUAAUAAAACAAUGACUUUUAGCACAGAACUUGUUUCACUUGAUUUCAUCUAUAAAGCUCUGGUCAGCUCAUUUCCAUUAUGAAUAAUAGUAUUUAAUUCAUCUUUGAAUGCAAAAGAGUAUCAGUCUUU